UACGUAGGGUGCAAGCGUUGGCCGGAAUUAUUGGGCGUAAAGAGCUCGUAGGCGGUCUGUUGCGUCGGCUGUGAAAACCCGGGGCUCAACUCCGGGCCUGCAGCCGAUACGGGCAGACUAGAGUUCGGCAGGGGAGACUGGAAUUCCUGGUGUAGCGGUGAAAUGCGUAGAUAUCGGGAGGAACACCAGUGGCGAAGGCGGCUUUCUGGCCCAAUACUGACACUCAUGUGCGACAGCGUGGGGAGCAAACAGG
rnacentral:rRNA from 1 species